AGGCCCGAGCGCGGGAGAAAGUGGAGCUGAGAUUGUAGGAAAUUCGGAGUUAUAUUUUCCAGCCUCUCGGGCCAGAAGUCUCAACUACGUCCUGGGAAACAUAUAUCAAAUGGAGUUGAAGAGAAAAAAGGAGGGAAUGAGCAAACAAGUGACUGGGGCUACAGGAAGUGAUGGAGACCUCAGAGAUCAUCUGGGAUGGCCCUUCUCCUCUGGGUGAGGAAAUAAACCCAGAGAAGGAUUUUCAUAAAACAGUGCUGUUUUUCCCUGUGAGAGGAUUAGAGAUAAAAUGCUGGUGUCGCCCUGGUCUAACUUCUGCAGUGGCAUCUUUCCCCACCUCAGCAUCUGCAGCAUCUGGUAAAGCAGCCUGCAGACAAGAAAGCAUCUCCUGCAGGGAAUGCAAUUUUUGACCCCCUUUGUAAAGAGGAUCUUAAAUAAAGCCAGGCCUUGUUAUGAGCCACCCAUUCAUUUUAAAAGAGCCUUUGCUGAUUUCACUUGGGGUCAUCUUUACAGUCAUUGGCAAACAAAUUGUAAUCUGCUGUGCUUUCCUUGUGGUUUCAGAGAGUCAUUUCUCUGUCUUUGACACUCUUCCCUUAAGAUUAUUUUCUCUGAGCCAGCCUGUCUAGCCCAGUCCUGAAUAUAAAUAGCUCCAAGUUUGUAUUUCUUGAGCGCGAAUGCCCUGCUAUUGCUGGGUUAUGUGAAACCCUUUCUUAUGUUGAACACAAGAAGCCCAUGAUUAUUGGUACCACAGAUUCUCACAUUCUUAAUCAGUUCCACCUGGCCAAUAAACAGUAAAGCCAGGACAGCUUCUCUUCUGUGUGGGUUUUCUACUUUAUGGGUAAUAAAACUGUCCUCAGUGUGAUUUAGGAAUCCCUUUGAUGCCUGCUAGUUUACUGUAUUGGUAUUUCAGGAGUGUUGGCAGUCACUGGUGAGACUUCACUACUGGCAUCCCAGAACUGAGACAGGGAGGUGGUUCGGCUCCAUCGUGGGCGAAACACAGCUGGUAAUGCACUUUCUCUUACUUAGACCCAUCAGAGAAAAAUUUAGAAAAGGUCUGGUUGAAACAAGCAAGGUUAAGGAUGGUUAGAUUUCUUUCAAACAUAGAGAAAGGAAAUAAGGAGGAAAGGAGCUGUGGGGGAAGGGAAAGAAGAAAAGGGACAAUGAAGAUGGAAUGUAAUUCAUUGCUAGAAGUCAACCUCCUUGCCUGCAAGUUAAAGAAAUGAAGCUGGGCUAAGUCUUAGCUUUUCUGUUUUGCAUUAGGUAGUAAGAAAACGUGCUCUCUGCAGAUUUCAGGACAGAGAAGAGUAUGAGGAACAUCCUCCCUCUCUCAGCCCUUUGCCAGCUCCAAGUUUACGGGCUUCCCCCCACCCCCCACGCCCAGUGGGUGGUUUUGGUGAUGUGUUAAUAUUUCAUGGGGAGGUCAGUUGUGUUUAUGUUUUUAUUUUUAUUUUUUCUGACCAGUUCAUUAGGAUAUUUGAAGUGGGAAAGUCUACAUGGUGUAGGAGGUUAACUCCUAUCAGAUCAAAAGAGAAAAGAAACUGGGGCAUCCGCAAAUAGUGAAUGCUUUGUGAACUUGAGGAGCUCUUGGUGGUUGGCACUCCUUGUUUAAACUACUUCUUUUAACCACAUUAACCAAUAACCCUGGUAAAAACUUGGAACUCCUUUGGACUUGGAAGCAGUUUUGUUACAUAGUGCCCUUCCUUGUAUUAGCAUCACCUACUCUUGUCUUUAAUUAUUUGGGUCAUUUAUUCUACUUGAAUGGAAUGAAUGCCAUCAGCCUUAUCAUUACUAUCAUUAUCACAUUUUAAAGAUAAGUAAUCUUAAUUGGCUGCAGUUUAAAGAGUUUAGGGAAUGUUCGGUAAUAUAUAUGUAUAAGAGAGAACCCUCCUGUGAGUGCCUGGUGCCCAAGAGUUACUUAUCAAGUGGGUGAUAAUUGUUGGCAUAAUCUAUGUAUAUCUUUAAAGAUCCAAAUUUUCUCCUAAAAUACUUUCCCCCAAAUCAAUUAAUGUACCUUAAUUAAUGUAUUUUUUUAACUAUUGCUAUAGCUUUCUAAAAAUCUCAUUGUAAAGAUUUGUUAAUCCCUUUUGCAGAUGGUGAAAGAAUCAAGUGGAGACAGUGCAGUCUCUUGACAAUUAGCAGAAUGUGUGUGUGUGUAAGACUCUUUAACAAAUGCACUGAGCACCUAUUAUACAUGUGCCAAGAACUAUAAUAAAAGCUGGAACCACAAAAAUGUUUAAGGCAUAGACCCUAUCCUUGAGAAUUGUGUAGUGUAAUGGGGUGAUACAUUUUCAAAUAAAUAAUUAUAAUAGAAAGUGGUAGUACUAAAAUAGAAGCUAAUUUUGCCUGGGGGAGUUGAGAAAGACUCCCUGAAAAGGUACUUCUUGAAUUGAGUUUUGUGUGGUGAGCUUGGGUUUGGUAAGAGCAGGGCAGAGGAGAAUAUUCUGAAGGGAGCAAGUCUGACAAGGCAUGGAGGGUUGACGUACAUAAUCUGGGAAGAGCUGGAGUAUGGAAGAGAAGUCAAGAAUCAAGCAAUGGAAGUUCUUCUUUCUGCCUCAUUUUUACUUUUUUAAUUGCCCUGACAAAAGUUUAUGAGGGAGCAGGCUGACAGUUUAUGAGGGAUCAGUGUUCCACAAAUGUGGAUAAUUGAAAGUGUCAGAAAAUAGAUGAGUCAAAAAUACAACAACUUGACACCAAAAUGAUGGAAUCGCUAGCCAGUACCACAUGACCACAUAUUGAAUUCUUCCAGGAUUAUUAUAUCUGCUUAUAUGAAUUAUUUAUGCAUUUAUUAAUAAGGUGUACCUAGUCUUUUAAAAAGUAUUUGAAAUAAUAAUGAUUUUGAUAGGUGUCCAUAUUUAAUCAAAAUUAACAUAGUGAUAUCUUACAUUUAUACAAAAUCAACAUUUCUAGUUGGCCUGAAAGGAGAAAACAAUUUAGGCAUUGAAAAAAUUGGAUUCCAGUAAAUCCUAAAUGUGAAAGGAAACAACUUUGUGUCUUGGUUUUUGUCUACAUGAGUUAACAUUUAUAAUGUUUUGUCUCAUAUAUUUCUCCUGGAAAUAAAAUGCAUUCAAAUACUAAUAAAUUAGUGUGUCAUCCUAAUUGAAACUUGGUAAAUAAAAAAAAAAAUUGCUCAGUUA
ensembl:lncRNA